UACAUUUAAUUACAAAAACUGCCACCACAGCCCUCUCUCCCUCUCUCCCUCUUCCUCAAGCGUGUACCUUGUCAACUGCGCCUCUGAGGCCGUCGCCUUCUGCUGCUCCGCUGACAACUUGGUCCUCUGCCAAUCGAGGGCCUCUGAGGCCGUCGCCUUCUGCUGCUCCGCUGACAACUCGAUCACACCCCAAUCGAGGGCUUCUCCGGCUGCCCCUUCUCAUACAAUUCAUCCAGAUCUCGGAGAUUCAUUCCGGUUUCCGAUGGCUCAGCCUCACGUAAACAAAGACGACAAUCGUGACGAUGAAGGCUUGAUGUUUAUAUUCUUGAUUGUUUGUUGAAAAGGAAAUUGACUACUUCUGCAAAUGCAUUUAUGACUAAAAGAAAGGAUGCUACGUACAGAUCCAGUAGGCGGCCACCUGAAGUAUCCAAGUAGAAAAGUUAAAAGGGUUAUGUCUUAGAUUAAUGUUACUUCAAAACAAAGGCAACUAGGGGAAGACAGACCUGGCCGGCAACAAAUUGAAUGACUUGGUCUUCAGUGCUCAGUUCAGUACUAGCUGCUCUCACUACAUAUGCCAUUGGAUUUGUCCUGCUUCUUCGUCUUCAACCCUGCAUUUAAACACGGAGCAAUGGAAAGACCGGAGGCUCUCACCCGUUUUGAAAUUAUCAUUUAAACACGGAAACAACUUUGGCUGCACAGACUUGUGUUCUACUCAUCGGCUUGGGAGUUAUAUCUCAAUCACUUGUAGUUUUGUACUGCUACCUAGCUUGUUGUUCAAUAGUUCAGUUCGUAACGGGAAAGCAACAAAACAAUAUAUUUACCCUUCUUUCUUGCUACCUUUAAUUCAACAUAUAGCUUGACAUGUAUGAAUCUUGUGCCAUGAUAAUUUGAUUCAUUUCUCUCCAA